rnacentral:rRNA from 1 species
GACGAACGCUGGCGGCGUGCUUAACACAUGCAAGUCGAACGGAAAGGCCCUGCUUUUGUGGGGUGCUCGAGUGGCGAACGGGUGAGUAACACGUGAGUAACCUGCCCUUGACUUUGGGAUAACUUCAGGAAACUGGGGCUAAUACCGGAUAGGAGCGCCUGCUGCAUGGUGGGGGUUGGAAAGUUUCGGCGGUUGGGGAUGGACUCGCGGCUUAUCAGCUUGUUGGUGGGGUAGUGGCUUACCAAGGCUUUGACGGGUAGCCGGCCUGGGAGGGUGACCGGCCUCCUUGGGCCUGCGGUACGGCCCAGACUCCUACGGGAGGCAGCAGUGGGGAAUAUUGCACAAUGGGCGGAAGCCUGAUGCAGCAACGCCGCGUGCGUGAUGCCGGCUUUCGGGUUGUAAACCGCUUUCGCCUGUGACGAAGCGUGAGUGACGGUAAUGGGUAAAGAAGCACCGGCUAACUACGUG